GACAGAGGGUGCAAACGUUGUUCGGAAUUACUGGGCGUAAAGCGCGUGUAGGCGGCAGGGCAUGACGGAUGUGAAAUCCCGUGGCUCAACCACGGAAGUGCACCCGAAACUGCCCAGCUUGAGUCUCGGAGAGGAAGGCGGAAUGCUUGGUGUAGAGGUGAAAUUCGUAGAUAUCAAGCGGAACACCGGUGGCGAAGGCGGCCUUCUGGACGAUGACUGACGCUGAGACGCGAAAGCGUGGGGAGCAAACAGG
rnacentral:rRNA from 1 species